rnacentral:rRNA from 1 species
GACGAACGCUGGCGGCGUGCUUAACACAUGCAAGUCGAACGGAAAGGCCCCUUCGGGGGUACUCGAGUGGCGAACGGGUGAGUAACACGUGAGUAACCUGCCCUGACUUCGGGAUAACUUCAGGAAACUGGGGCUAAUACCGGAUAGGAAUCCUUGCUGCAUGGUGGGGGUUGGAAAGCUUCGGCGGUUUUGGAUGGACUCGCGGCGUAUGAGCUUGUUGGGGGGGUAGUGGCUUACCAAGGCUUUGACGGGUAGCCGGCCUGAGAGGGCGACCGGCCACAUUGGGACUGAGAUAAGGCCCAGACUCCUACGGGAGGAAGAAGUGGGGAAUAUUGAACAAUGGGCGGAAGCCUGAUGCAGAAACGCCGCGUGCGGGAUGACGGCCUUCGGGUUGUAAAACGCUUUCAGCAGGAGCGAAGCUUGUGGUGACGGUACCUGCAGAAGAAGCACCGGCUAACUACGUG